rnacentral:rRNA from 1 species
GACGAACGCUGGCGGCGUGCUUAACACAUGCAAGUCGAGCGGUAAGGCUCCUUCGGGAGUACACGAGCGGCGAACGGGUGAGUAACACGUGAGCAAUCUGCCCUUCACACGGGGAUAACCCUCGGAAACGAGAGCUAAUACCCGAUACGACCACUUCAGGCAUCUGAUGGUGGUGGAAAGUUCCGGCGGUGAAGGAUGAGCUCGCGGCCUAUCAGCUUGUUGGUGGGGUAACGGCCCACCAAGGCAACGACGGGUAGCCGACCUGAGAGGGUGACCGGCCACAAUGGAGCUGAGACACGGUCCAGACUCCUACGGGAGGCAGCAGUGGGGAAUAUUGCACAAUGGGCGAAAGCCUGAUGCAGCAACGCCGCGUGAGUGAUGACGGCCUUCGGGUUGUAAAGCUCUGUCUUUUGGGACGAUAAUGACGGUACCAAAGGAGGAAGCCACGGCUAACUACGUGCCAGCCGCCGCAGUAA